AGGGUUGUUGCUCAGGGGUAGAGUACUUGCCUAGCAAGUAUGAGGCACUGGGUUCAAUUCUCAGCACAUUUA
rnacentral:tRNA from 1 species